rnacentral:misc_RNA from 1 species
GAAAUGCGAUAAGUAAUGUGAAUUGCAGAAUUCAGUGAAUCAUCGAAUCUUUGAACGCACCUUGCGCUCCUUGGUAUUCCUUGGAGCAUGCCUAUUUGAGUAUCAUGAAAUCUUCAAAGUAAAUCUUUUGUUAACUCAAUUGGUUUCUACUUUGGUAUUGGAGGUCUUUGCAGCUUCACACCUGCUCCUCUUUGUUCAUUAGCUGGAUCUCAGUGUUAUGCUUGGUUCCACUCGGCGUGAUAAGUUAUCUAUCGCUGAGGACACUGUAAAAGGUGGCCAAGGUAAAUGCAGAUGAACCGCUUCUAAUAGUCCAUUGACUUGGACAAUACUUUUAUGAUCUGAUCUCAAAUCAGGUAGGACUACCCGCUGAACUUAAGCA